rnacentral:rRNA from 1 species
UGGUGGGGUAACGGCCUACCAAGGUGAUGAUACGUAGCCGAACUGAGAGGUUGAUCGGCCACAUUGGGACUGAGACACGGCCCAAACUCCUACGGGAGGCAGCAGUAGGGAAUCUUCCACAAUGGACGAAAGUCUGAUGGAGCAACGCCGCGUGAAUGAAGAAGGCCUUCGGGUCGUAAAAUUCUGUUGUCAGAGAAGAACGUGCGUGAGAGUAACUGUUCACGUAUUGACGGUAUCUGACCAGAAAGCCACGGCUAACUACGUGCCAGCAGCCGCGGUAAUACGUAGGUGGCGAGCGUUGUCCGGAUUUAUUGGGCGUAAAGGGAACGCAGGCGGUCUUUUAAGUCUGAUGUGAAAGCCUUCGGCUUAACCGAAGUAGUGCAUUGGAAACUGGAAGACUUGAGUGCAGAAGAGGAGAGUGGAACUCCAUGUGUAGCGGUGAAAUGCGUAGAUAUAUGGAAGAACACCAGUGGCGAAAGCGGCUCUCUGGUCUGUAACUGACGCUGAGGUUCGAAAGCGUGGGUAGCAAACAGGAUUAGAUACCCUGGUAGUCCACGCCGUAAACGAUGAGUGCUAAGUGUUGGAGGGUUUCCGCCCUUCAGUGCUGCAGCUAACGCAUUAAGCACUCCGCCUGGGGAGUACGGUCGCAAGACUGAAACUCAAAGGAAUUGACGGGGGCCCGCACAAGCGGUGGAGCAUGUGGUUUAGUUCGAAGCAACGCGAAGAACCUUACCAGGUCUUGACAUCUUCUGACAAUUCCAGAGAUGGAACGUUCCCUUCGGGGACAGAAUGACAGGUGGUGCAUGGUUGUCGUCAGCUCGUGUCGUGAGAUGUUGGGUUAAGUCCCGCAACGAGCGCAACCCUUAUUGUCAGUUGCCAUCAUUAAGUUGGGCACUCUGGCGAGACUGCCGGUGACAAACCGGAGGAAGGUGGGGAUGACGUCAAAUCAUCAUGCCCCUUAUGACCUGGGCUACACACGUGCUACAAUGGACGGUACAACGAGUCGCUAACUCGCGAGGGCAAGCUAAUCUCUUAAAGCCGUUCUCAGUUCGGAUUGCAGGCUGCAACUCGCCUGCAUGAAGUCGGAAUCGCUAGUAAUCGCGAAUCAGCAUGUCGCGGUGAAUACGUUCCCGGGCCUUGUACACACCGCCCGUCACGCCAUGAGAGUUUGUAACACCCAAAGUCGGUGGGGUAACCUUUUGGAGCCAGCCGCCUAAGGUGGGACAGAUGAUUGGGGUGAAGUCGUAACAAGGUA